GACGAACGCUGGCGGCGUGCUUAACACAUGCAAGUCGAACGAUGAACCCGGAGCUUGCUCCGGUGGAUUAGUGGCGAACGGGUGAGUAACACGUGAGUAACCUGCCCUUGACUCUGGGAUAACUGCGGGAAACUGUAGCUAAUACCGGAUACGACCCUCGGCGGCAUCGCCAGGGGGUGGAAAGAAUUUCGGUCAAGGAUGGACUCGCGGCCUAUCAGCUAGUUGGUGAGGCAACGGCUCACCAAGGCGACGACGGGUAGCGGACCUGAGAGGAGAGCCGGCCCCACUGGACCUGAGAUACGGCCCAGGCUCCUACGGGAAGCAGCGUUGGGGAUUGUUGCUCUAGGGGCGCAAGGCUGAUGCUACAACGCCGCGUGGGGGAUGACGGCCUUCGUGUUGUAAACCUCUUUUAGUAGGGAAGAAGCGAAAGUGACGGUACCUGCAGAAAAAGCACCGGCUAACUACGUGCCAGCAGCCGCCGUAA
rnacentral:rRNA from 1 species